GGGUUAGGUCAAUGAUAGAGCUAUGUGGACACCAAGAAGAGGUGAUGACUUAAAAAUCAUGCUCAAUAGGAUUACGCACAAGGCCC